rnacentral:rRNA from 1 species
UACGGAGGGGGCAAGCGUUAUUCGGAAUUAUUGGGCGUAAAGGGCGCGUAGGCGGCCUGACAAGUGGAAGGUGAAAUCCCUCGGCUUAACCGAGGAACUGCCCUCCAAACUGUCUGGCUUGAGACCGGGAGAGGUGAGUGGAAUUCCCAGUGUAGCGGUGAAAUGCGUAGAUAUUGGGAGGAACACCAGUGGCGAAGGCGGCUCACUGGACCGGUACUGACGCUGAUGCGCGAAAGCGUGGGGAGCAAACGGG